rnacentral:rRNA from 1 species
GUGUCAGCCGCCGCGGUAAUACGGAGGGGACUAGCGUUGUUCGGAAUUACUGGGCGUAAAGCGCACGUAGGCGGACUGGAAAGUUGGGGGUGAAAUCCCGGGGCUCAACCUCGGAACUGCCUCCAAAACUAUCAGUCUGGAGUUCGAGAGAGGUGAGUGGAAUACCGAGUGUAGAGGUGAAAUUCGUAGAUAUUCGGUGGAACACCAGUGGCGAAGGCGGCUCACUGGCUCGAUACUGACGCUGAGGUGCGAAAGCGUGGGGAGCAAACGGGAUUAGAAACCCCCGUAG